rnacentral:rRNA from 1 species
CCUACGGGUGGCAGCAGUGAGGAAUAUUGGUCAAUGGACGAGAGUCUGAACCAGCCAAGUAGCGUGAAGGAUGACUGCCCUAUGGGUUGUAAACUUCUUUUAUAUGGGAAUAAAAUGUUCCACGUGUGGGAUUUUGUAUGUACCAUAUGAAUAAGGAUCGGCUAACUCCGUGCCAGCAGCCGCGGUAAUACGGAGGAUACGAGCGUUAUCAGGAUUUAUUGGGUUUAAAGGGAGCGUAGGUGGAUUGUUAAGUCAGUUGUGAAAGUUUGCGGCUCAACCGUAAAAUUGCAGUUGAAACUGGCAGUCUUGAGUACAGUAGAGGUGGGCGGAAUGCGUGGUGUAGCGGUGAAAUGCUUAGAUAUCACGAAGAACUCCGAUUGCGAAGGCAGUUCACUGGACUGCAACUGACACUGAGGCUCGAAAGUGUGGGUAUCAAACAGGAUUAGAUACCCCAGUAGUC